AAAAGAAAACUAACCCAGGAUUNCCUUUAGUAAACGGCGAGUGAACAGGGAAAAGCCCAGCACCGAAGCCUGUGGUUGUUUGAUCACUAGGCAAUGUGGUGUUUAGGUCAAAUUGCGGAAUCACUGCUCCUCUCCAAGUCCGACAAUGAGUACGGUAUUUUGAACGCGGCCCACAGAGGGUGAAAGGCCCGUUGGGGAGGAGGUCAGAUAUGUCAGUGUUUCCCUAACAAGACCUUUGAGUCGGGUUGUUUGAGAAUGCAGCCCAAAGUGGGUGGUAAACUCCAUCCAAGGCUAAAUACAAACACGAGUCCGAUAGCGAACAAGUACCGUGAGGGAAAGUUGAAAAGUACUUUGAAGAGAGAGUAAACAGUGCGUGAAGCCGCUCAGAGGUAAACGGGUGGAGUUGAACUGCGUGCCUGGAGGAUUCAGCUGGUGACUGUGUCAUGAUCUUGGUCAUUUUGGUUGAACAGUGAGGUCUGCGUAGUAGCAGGUUCUUACAUUCGUGUGAGAAUGCGCGAUUCACUUAUCAGGUGAUGUGCGCCUUGCUUGUUUUUCGAAUCGGUUGCCAGUGCAUUUCCUCUUGGCGUUCACCACGACCGACAUCGCUGUCUGGCUGUUGUGGUUAAACCGGUUUGACAUAGUCCUUGUGGCUUUGUUGGGUCGGGACGGCAGGUAGCUCGUUGGCUUGCUCGUAGUUUACUGCGGGUGAUAAGCUUUCGGGUGUAAUCAGCUGACCGUAACGGUUCUGUGCAGUAUGUCGGAGACCGCGGUUUGUAAUGGUUGUGCGUGUACAGUGGCUUUUGGCGUGUUCGAGUUUGGUUGCCAUGUUGCCUGGUAAACAGGCCUGGUGAUGGCUCGGAUUCGUUCGGAGGUGUCUGUAUGCGUAACAGCUAUACAGGGCCAAUAGUCUGUGGUGUUGUGGUAGAUUAUCCACCUGACCCGUCUUGAAACACGGACCAAGGAGAGUAACAUGUGCGCGAGUCAUUGGGCGUAACGAAACCCAAAGGCGCAGUGAAAGUGAAUGUCUGGCUUGUCCAGGCUGAGGUGAGAUCUCGUCGUUUCCGCACACAUGGUAUCACCAAGUAACGAGCGGCGAGCGCAUCACCGGCCCGUCCCAUGACGUAGACGGGGUCUUAGGAUCCACGCAUCGUCGGGGCGGAGCAUGAGCGUACAUGUUGAGACCCGAAAGAUGGUGAAA
rnacentral:rRNA from 1 species